AGUCACAUCACCUAGGUGCUCGGCCCAGUGAUACAUCACAAUUUCUCCUUGGGCAGAGCCAAGCAGUAGAAAAGAGUCACAUCACCUAGGUGUUGGGUCCAGCAAUAUGUCACUAUACACCCUGAGGGGUGGGCCCAGGCAAGAGACUCACAUCACCUAGGUGAGGGGUCCAGAGAUAUGUCAUGAGGCCCCCUUGUGGGCAGGGCUCAGGAAGGAGAGAAACUGCUGUUCUCAAUGUCACCAAUCACAUGGACAUCACAAAUCACUUGCAAAGUCAACAGACUCUUGUCUGCCCGCACAGUCUUCAGAAAAUGUGUCCAGGUGAAUUCAAAGCAAGGCAUUCUAAUUAGAACAAUGUACAGAAGGAAAGAAGGUAUGAGAGUCUGAGGGGAGUUUGAGGAACAGAAAGUAGACAGAUGCACUCAACCACAGAUCCUACUGACAUGAAGGUUUAUGCACCUUGAGGACUGCUGAACACUGACACAGCUAGCUGGUGCAUCUAAGAGACUGGCUAGGGCAGCAGCUUUGAAUACUUCUCCAACUACCACAGAGACUGCAAGGCAUCCAUUCAGGCACAACUCAUUUUAUCAGCAAGCCUUCUGCAAGCCGG
rnacentral:lncRNA from 10 species